rnacentral:rRNA from 1 species
UACGUAGGGGGCUAGCGUUGUCCGGAUUUAUUGGGCGUAAAGAGCGUGUAGGCGGCCAGGUAGGUCUGCUGUGAAAACUCCAGGCUCAACCUGGAGACGCCAUUCGAUACUGGUGUGGCUAGAGUCCAGUAGGGGAGUGUGGAAUUCCUGGUGUAGCGGUGAAAUGCAUAGAUAUCAGGAGGAACACCGAUGGCGAAGGCAGGUCUCUGGGCCGCAACUGACGCUGAGGAGCGAAAGCAUGGGGAGCGAACAGG